rnacentral:lncRNA from 1 species
AUGGCCAAGGUUGGCCUCUGUUGGCUCCCGCACACCGGCCCCUUCCUCUCCACUGCUUCUGGGCCUAGGAUGAGCUUUGCCAGUUGUCCUGGGAUCCUCCGGCCCUCUUUCCUGAUGGAGAAUGCCCGGGAGGCCGUCAGGCACCCACUUCCGCUGGCCUCCCGAGGUGGACAAGGCAGUGCCGAACCAGAGCAAAUAUUGACUGCAAAAAGGGGCCCGUGCACCACUGGCCUGAUGGUGCUGGCCAGGGCUCUCUUUCCAAACAGCCUUGCUAGCGCUUCUUCAAAGAGCGGUUUUCACUGCCCCCACCCGAGUGCCAACGUUUCCUCCCAUCUCAGCGCCGCGCGUCGGCCUGGAGGCUUUUCCUCCUCGCUGCACCUCUGGCGUCCAGGUGUCGGCUGGGGGACCCUGCUUCCCUGGACAGCUCUGCGGUGCUCCGCGCUCAAACUUGGCUCCAACUCUGUCCCUCUCACGGUGUCGCCCGCAGGAGGAUCGAAGAGCGAGAACUAUUGUUGGACCUGGUUGGUUUGUGCCUCAACAGCGCCACCUUUCGGCAAAGGUCAGUGGACGGCGACGCGCGGCCGGUUCCGCCGCCGCGGGGAGAAGCUGCCUGCCCCGGGCGGGCCGGCGCGCAGAGUGGGUCCGCAGGCGGCGGGCGCGCAGAGUGGGUCCGCAGGCGGCGGGCGGCCCGGGCCUCGCACACAAGGGGCCGGAGACCCGGCUCGCAGGCCCCGGACCACAGCAGCCCGCGGGAGUCCUUGCGGCCGAGCCCUCUUGGCGCGCGUCCCCCCCAGCACCCCCCAGCACCCCGUCCCCCAGGGCCCCCCAACCCCACCCCAUCACCUCCCCAAUAACAGCCCUAGCCCAGAGCCGGGCUGGGUUUCCAGCGGGCUUCGCGGCGCUCUGGAGAGAAGUAAAGUUCUCUAACUCUGGGCGGUAA